UGAAAUCAACUGAGAUCACCCGCUGAACUUAAGCAUAUCAAUAAGCGGAGGA
rnacentral:rRNA from 1 species